UACAGAGGGGGCAAGCGUUGUUCGGAAUUACUGGGCGUAAAGGGCGCGUAGGCGGCCGCCUAAGUCAGACGUGAAAUCCCUCGGCUCAACCGGGGAACUGCGUCUGAUACUGGGUGGCUUGAAUCCGGGAGAGGGAUGCGGAAUUCCAGGUGUAGCGGUGAAAUGCGUAGAGAUGCGGAAGAACACCAGUGGCGAAGGCGGUCAACUGGCCUCAUAUUGACACUCAGACGCGAAGGCAUGGGUAGCGAACGGG
rnacentral:rRNA from 1 species